GAUGAACGCUGACAGAAUGCUUAACACAUGCAAGUCUUUGGCGAAUCUGUGCUUGCACAGGCUAGCCAAGGCGGACGGGUGAGUAACGCGUAAAGAACUUGCCCUGCAGACAGGGAUAACAGACGGAAACGACUGAUAACACCUGAUACAGUUGCCGGCACGCAUGUGCCUGGCAAUGAAAAGAGAUGCUGCAGGAGAGCUUUGCGUCCUAUUAGCUUGUUGGUGAGGUGACGGCUCACCAAGGCGAUGAUAGGUAGCCGGCCUGAGAGGGUGAACGGCCACAAGGGGACUGAGAUACGGCACUUACUCCUACGGGAGGCAGCAGUGGGGAAUAUUGGACAAUGGGGGCAACACUGAUCCAGCAAUUCUGUGUGCACGAAGAAGGUUUUCGGAUUGUAAAGUGCUUUCAGCAGGGAAGAAGAAAGUGACGGUACCUGCAGAAGAAGCGACGGCUAAAUACGUG
rnacentral:rRNA from 1 species